UUGGCUUCGAUUUCUCCGAUUUCUUCUUCUAUCAUCUUUGGUUCUGAUCUCAUCUUAGCUAAUUAGAGCUGUUGAAAUUAUUUAGAGGAAUUUUUACUAUGAUGAUUGGUCAAACUUGUGUUUCUUAGAUAGGAGAGCUUGGUUAGUUUUGUAAAAAUGCGUAUGAAUCUGCUGCUUUGUGUGGGGAUUGAGUUUCUGGUGAGCGUAGUACUUCUAUAAUAGUUUCGAUUCAUGUUUUAACAGGAGAUAAUCAUGGUCAGUUCUUUGAUCUAUGGUGGUGGCUAUCCCCUGACUUAAUUUGCAGAGCUCAUCAGGUGAUAUUUUGCUUGAGGAAAACCCUUUUAGACAUAUGUAUCUGUGGCAUUUUAACCUCUCAUCAUAGUGCUACUCAAGCUUAUGACUUACUAACUAUGGACGGGUAUGAAUUCUUUGCAAAUAGACAGCUAGUAACGAUAUUCUCGUCCUCAAACUAUUGUGUAGAGUUUGAUAACGCAAGAGCAAUGAUGAGUGUGGAUGAUUCCUUGACGUGCUCAUUUCAGAUCUUUAAAGCAUCUCAGAAAAAAGGAAAUUUCGGAUUUGGGAAAUCAGGAAAGAGAGGAAACCCGCCUCACAAGGGUGGAAAAGGCUGAAGCAAAAUCCCAUCAUCCUGCUCCACCAUAUGCUUCCUGGUCUCCAACACAAGCAAGGACAAGAAAAGAUGUCCAAAAGUGAUCCAUCAUCUGCCAUUUUUAUGGAAGUUGAGGAGAUAAACUAGUAGCUAUACAAGCUUACAAAACAGAGAAGAGUUUUUUGUAGGUAUUGACAUGUGUUAUGAUCUAUCUUCCAGGCUGAUGUUAAUGAGAAGAUCAACAAAGCUUAUUGCCAUCCAAAAAGUGUGGAAGC